AGCAUCACUGACCUCUAACUGGGUCCCUGACCGACUGCUCGGUGGAAACUGGGUGCAGCAGAAAUCUGUCCCACAAUGCUGUCUUCCCUUCGGCGGUGGGCAAGAAAGGAGUAAAACAAUGUAGUGUUGAAUGCUUUGGUGUGCAUGUUAGUACUGACCAUUUCAAUUUGUUUUUAACGGUGUGCCCAAUCCGGCAGUGCAUUUCUAUUAGCAGGGAAUGCAGUGUCAUGACAACCCUGGAGAGAACGUGAAUGGUGACUAUGCUUUGUGAACAUCGUCCCUCUUUCUUUCUUGUGUGAUUUCAUCUCAGAGCUUAUCUUGAGAUCCAGCUGCUUCUGCUGCUGAAGGGGAAACCUGCUGUUCUGAACUCCUCUGCCCCCCUGCUGGAAGGCAGCUAAAGGAAGAAGUCAGAUGCUGGGGACAUUGUGUGGCCAAUGAAGGCCAAUUUUAGUCUGCAGGAGACUGAAAGACUGGUACAAAAGGCCACCGAAGACUCUCAGCUACUGUUUUGGCUGCAGAUUCCAAAGGAGAUCCUGCCAAGAAGCUUAAAGUGUGGAACAGGAUCCUGCAUUUGUCUACGUCAGUGCCCUUAGAGACUGAAAGUGGGAUAUAGGGAUCUCAAGCCCAGGGGACAGUGGAAAAGGAUAGUGAAAAGAAAGUUGGCAGAACAUCCGACAGCUGUUCAAGCAACUGUUUGGGAGUCAAUGCAACCACUUCUUAUGCACACAGGCUUACUGGUCACUAGCCGUCCUUGAACAAGCCAUACAAGCUGUCGGGUUGCCUUACUGCUUCUCAUCAUGCCUACUAUGACAACAGUAUCUAGUUAGCAUCCUGACUCAGGGAGGAGGAGGGAGCAGAGCUGUGUUGAGCGGCUGGACUCCUUGGACAGCGUGGCCUUCCCUGCUGUGAGAAUGGCGAACGGAGGGGAGAAUUUCUGACAGCUUCCUUCCGGUGGGGCUGAACUUUGCAAGAGGGCCAGAGCUACUUGCAGCAGUGUGAGACAAGCUCCCAAACCCCUUGAGUGACAUCCAGUCAUUUGUGGGGGGAAGGAGGGGGAAUCCCUGUAUUCCCUUUGUGGGGAGGGAAGGGCAUGUAGGAUUUUAUUUGCUUGGAUGGGCACAAUGAUUUUUUGGAGGAAAAACUGACUAACAAAUUCUUCUCUGUAGAGUCUCACCAGUUACUCGCCCCUUCAGAAUCUUGAUCGCAUCAGCCAGUUCAGAGGCCCCCAUUCUGAAAGCUCCAACAUCCGUACUAGAGUGGCUUGAAAAACUUGCAGUGUGGCGAAUUCAGGAUGAUUUUUCAAAAUUUCCCUCCCACCCCCUUACUUUUGCAAUUCAGAACUUCACAGAUUUUUGUUUAAAAUGGGCUAAUAGCGCUGCUAUUGGUAGGAAAAUGUGGGAAAACAUUAGGAAAAAUGUAAACCAUUUUUUUUUGUUAAUUUCAAAAUUUGAAAUUGUCAAAAUCUGAUGAUUUCUGAGCAGUUCCAGUGGAAACCUAUUUUAAAGAAAGGAACCAGCUUUCCCUUAACCACGAGGACAUGGAUGUGGGAGAGAAUCAUGAGGACAGAAAGGAGCUUUACUUUGUGGGAAUGUGUAUGCAGGGGCAGCGAUGCAACUCCCUCCCUCAAAGUUGACUAUUGUUUUGAGCUGCUCAUAGGUUGGAUCAUGCCCAGAGUCCCACCAGUUACUUGCAUGCUCCCCUAGCAUGUCUUUAACUGGCUGCAAACCCCCCUACCUCCAUCACCCCGCCUCGCCUCCUGACAGAGGAUCACAUCACAGGUCCCCUACAGGCCCUUUUCUAGCAUUGUAGUACUGGAGACCACAAGCACCAGAUAUUUAAAAAAAACCCCAAAACUGCUGGCAUGUGUGAUAAAAAUAAAGGUUAUAACAAAUGAGGUUAUAACAAAGGUUAUCACAAAACGUCACUCGCAUUAUUCUAUUAUUAAUAUAUAUUUUUUAAAAUAACAAGCUCUGAUUCUGCAAAGUUUUACGCACACAUGCUUAACUUGAUGCACUGAGAGUAGUCUCCUUGACUUUAAUGGCAUUACUCACAGUGCAUCAAGUUAAGCAUGUAUGGCUGCAGUGUUCAGUCAUAAGAAACAUCCCCUUUUUCAGAUGGCUUCCUGUUGACAUUCUUUGACAGAGGUCCCAAAAUCAUGAUAACCUUUAUGAAUAUGCCCCAAAGACUCCUUUUUAAAAAAAUACAUUUUUUUGGCUGCAUGUGACAAUGUUUUAAAAUUCAAGGACCUCAAUCUUUUUGCAUUAAUGGACUUUUGCUGCUGUUGACUAAUUAGUUUUUAAUUAUACAGUAGAACAUCAGAGUUACGAACUGACCAGUCAACCACUCACCUCAUUUGGAACCAGAAGUACACAAUCAGGCAGCGGGGGGUGGGGUGGGGGGAAGCAAAUGCAGCAUUUUUCUUCUGCAUAGUAAAAUUUCAAAGCUGUAUUAAGUCAAUGUUCAGUUGUAAACAUUUCAAGUUUCAAACAACCUCCGUUCCUGAGGUGUUUGUAACUCUGAGGUUCUACGGUAUUGGAAGGAUUCCAUUCCUGCUUUAAGUCGGAACUCUAAUGCAGCCUUAACUGUGGUGCCUCCAUAAUAUUUUCAGUGCAGAGACCAGUGGCGGAUUAAUGAUUUUGCCUACCCUAGGCCCUGAAAUAAUUGCCCCCCCAUAUGAACUUGUUUUCAUUUUUUUACAAAUUUAUUUGAACUAAAAUGAAUCUAAAUAUCAUUAAAAUAAUUGAACAUUUACAAGUUUUAUUAUAAAUAAAAUUACAAGUACAGCAGACCCUCACUUGAACGCACGUCUGUAUAGCGCGAUUUCGCUUAUAGCAUGGGACCGCGCAUGGAUCCAAAACCCCGCGUUCAAGCGGGGGUCCGGUGUAUAUCAAAUAUUUAUUUUUUAUUUUAUGUAGAUACAAUAAAAGAAAUAAAAGUAUGUGAGUAGUAAGUAACUACAUUUGUUUACGCCUACACCUUUGAGCGGCAAACUUAUUAAUUAAUUCUAUAUAAUCCAGAGAAGUUGUUAGAUCCUUUUCAAUUGUCAGGAGAGAAAGGGAGUUUACUUUUUCUUCACUGAGAUUAGCCCUCAAAUAGUUUUUCACCCUUUUUAAUGCCAAAAAUGAUCGUUCCGCUGAACAGUUUGUAGCAGGUAUGCAAACGAACAUUUGGAAGGCAAUAUCAAUAUUUGGGUAUACUGAAUGAACGUUUCAAUUUCGAAGAAGGCUGCAAUAUCUUAAAAUUGACGACUUUUCAUUUUUAGGAAUUUCGACACCUUCCAAAUAUGAUCAAAAAUGUAGACACUCAUUCACGAAUGAUUCUUCUAAACCUCUUUGGUAUCAUAGCUGUAAUUUUUUAGCGUGAACUGUUAUUUCUGUUGUUGAAGUAUUGGUAAUGUUAGAGAGAAACUGAAAUCUGCCAUAAAUUUCUUGAUACGCAUUACUUCUGCAUUUUAAUUCAGAGCAUACAAGGUCUAGUAUUGUUAAAAAGGUAUCUACUUUAAAUUUAUCUCUACCACACAUUUCCACUUCAACUUUGCGUGUCUCAUCAGAUUGAAGUUUACGCUUUCUUUUUCGCCUUGUGUCAAAUUCUUAGUCUUCAGUUUCAGAUUUUUCUCUGGCUGUCUCUUCGUACAUAUUAAACAAGUCCCGUAUGGAGUUAAUGUAUCCUAUUAAUGAGUUGUAGUGUUCUACAACUGUCUGUAUAUCAGUAUAAACAUUUUGCAGUUUUUGGCUAGUUAUAUGAAAUCUUUCCAAGAGUGAGCUCCAAAAUACAGCCAUAAAAGCAGCCUCAAGUUGAUGGAGUUUUUGCUGCAGGCCUGCAGCUUCAUUAUGUGUAACAGGUUUCUCAGUAGCAUCUUCCUUUAUUGUAUUUAAGGCUUUAAUUAUAGCAUUCCAGUUUUCACUCAAAUUAUGACAAGCUUCCACUCGAGAUGACCAUUGAGUCUAAGAAAGUCCUUUUUAUUACUUUACUGCUUGGCUUCAAAUUAGAUAGUAAAAUCUCCCACUGGUGAGUAGAGGCAGAAAAAAAUUAAAAGAUGUUGGACAGUUGAGAAAAAUGAACAUGCUUCUUGACAACUUUCUGCUGCACAUACUCCAACCAGAUUUAAAUAAUGCACAGAGCAAGGCACAUACACAGCAUAAGGAUUUAUAUUCUUUAUUCUUGCUUGCAACCUGCUAUAUACACCAGACAUGCUAGUGGCAUUGCGUACGACUGGCCACGGCAGUUUGCGAUAUCUAAUCCAUAACAAUUCAAAGUUGAAAGUACAGCAUCAGCUAACUGUUCUGAUUUGCGGCCAGUGUUUGGUAAAAAAAAAAAAAAAAAAAAAAAACCAACAAAGAAACCUCUCUAUUGGUAUGCCAUCAUCGUUUACAUAUCUCCGUAUAAAAGCCAAUUGAUCAACAUGAGAUAUGUCGGGAGUUGAGUCAACGCUUAUCGAGAAAUAUUUGGCUUUUUACUUCUCUAAUAAUGUUUGAGAUCACAUUUGAAACCAUCAAUUUUAUAAAUUCAUUACAUAUAUAGGAUGAAAGACCAGAUACAUUACCUCGACCUUCAUUUCCGUAACGUGCAAUGUGAUUAGCUAGAAAUGGAUUGAAUUCUGUGACAAGCUCAAGGGCCGUUAUAAGGUGAUCCAAAUUUUUCCACCUUACCUCUAAAUGCAAGUCCUCUACUUGAAAGUUUCUUUACCACAGCUACAAUCCUCUUCAACACAUUUCUCCAAUAAAUAAUGUCUUCUUCCAUUUGAAAUUUUAAAUUCGUAUCAAUUCUUCUGGAUAUCUCCCCUCUCUUCACCAUUGUCAGUACACAUGUUUUAUGUUCAGUCGAAUUUUCAUGUUCACGUAGUCGAGCUGAUAUGUUUUUCCAGUCAUGGUAUCCACUCGUCGCCAGACUAGAGAUCCUUCCGAAUAAUCGACAUGGGGCACAAAACAUGGCUCCUUUGCUCUCCGAAUAUACAAGAUAUUGCCAUGACUUUACUUCACCGUUUAAAAGAUGUUGUUCAAACACAGUUUUUGUUAGAAGAUGCAUUUUAUCAGUAUAUUGUCUUUUUGAGUUAGUAAAAUCACUAUCAAUAUUUUGUUUAAUACCAUGCAUUGAUAAAUACUCAAUUGUAGCAUCAUUCAAUAUCCAUUCGGCUGGGUCAUCACUUAUGGUAGAU